rnacentral:rRNA from 1 species
UAUGAAGGUCAGGCUGAAGACCUUACCCCGAUUUAGCUGAGAGGUGGUGCAUGGCCGUCGUCAGUUCGUACUGUGAAGCAUCCUGUUAAGUCAGGCAACGAGCGAGACCCACGUCCACAGUUGCCAGCAUACCCCUCCGGGGUGAUGGGUACACUGUGGAGACCGCCGCUGCUAAAGCGGAGGAAGGAGUGGGCAACGGUAGGUCAGUAUGCCCCGAAUCUCCCGGGCUACACGCGGGCUACAAUGGUUGGUACGAAUGGGCAUCUACCCCGAAAGGGGAAGGAAAUCUCUUAAAGCCAAUCGUAGUUCGGAUUGAGGGCUGCAACUCGCCCUCAUGAAGCUGGAAUCCGUAGUAAUCGCGUUUCAACAGAACGCGGUGAAUACGUCCCUGCUCCUU